AAAUGGAGUCAGGUAUGAAUGGGAAAACCGGGUUUAGCUGUCUCUUGGUUACUAUUUCGAAUUUACUGUUUAAGUGAAAAAGCUUAAGAAAUGAAAAGGGACGAGAAGACCCUUAGAAUUUUUUCUAAAGUGUAAUUUUGACAUAAGGAUUUUGUUGGGGCGACAAAGAAAUAUAUAAAAACUUUCUUUAAAAAACAUGCCGAUUAUAUUAAGUAAGAAUAAAUUACCUGAGGGAUAACAGCAUAAUUCAAUAGAUGAGUUUGUGACCUCGAUGUUGGACUAGGAAACUAGCAAAUUAGCCGUUUGUUGUGUGGGUUCUGUUCGAACUUUAAUUCCU
rnacentral:rRNA from 1 species